rnacentral:rRNA from 1 species
GAUGAACGCUGGCGGCGUGCCUAAUACAUGCAAGUCGAGCGAAGCGGGGACGGGUGAGUAACACGUGGAUAACCUCCUAUAAGACUGGGAUAACUUCGGGAAACCGGAGCUAAACCCAUUACUUCUCGUUGGAUCCUCGCUGCAUUAGCUAGUUGGGAAGGUAAAGGCUUACCAAGGCAACGAUGCAUAGCCGACCUGAGAGGGUGAUCGGCCACACUGGGACUGAGACACGGGCCAGACUCCUACGGGAGGCAGCAGGAGGGAAUCUUCCGCAAUGGGCGAAAGCCUGACGGAGCAACGCCGCGUGAGUGAUGAAGGCCUUCGGAUGGUAAAACUCUGUUAUUAGGGAAGCGGUACCGAAUCAGAAAGCCACGGCUAACUACGUGCCAGCCGCCGCGGUAAUUC